GCACUACUGGUAAUAGAACUACAUAGAAUAUUUUUGUUUUCUAGGGGAGUCAGUUUAUUCAGAGACAACACACUGAACAACUUCAGGUGACUCUAUCUAUAGUUGGAAUUAGGUGACCUUUUCCUUUCUCAGUUUGUGUCAGUCAGGUUCAAUUAAGUAGAACUGGCAGGAGUUUAGUGUCUAUUUUAUGGCAAGCUCUGUAGCAGGUGCAGGUGAGCAAACAUGAAUAGCACAUGAACCUCUCUCUCCUGGAGUUUCCUAUUAAGUAUAAAUAGGUGAUUCUAGCUAAGGAACUUAUUACAAAAAAAUAGAAGCAUAUAUAGAUGUAGAAUAGCAGAAGAGGGUGAUUCUCUUGCACAGGAGACAGAAGGAAAACUUUCAUAAAGCACAAGUUUCAAAAAAGUUUACAAAAUGGACCAAAGUUAUAAAAAGAAUUACAGGUAGAGAAGGAACACUUGUGAAGAAAUGAAAUGGCAUAUAUACAGUGACACUCAGAAAUCUGUGGCAUUAAAAAUAAGG
rnacentral:lncRNA from 1 species